rnacentral:rRNA from 1 species
GACAGAGGGGGCAAGCGUUGCUCGGAAUUACUGGGCGUAAAGGGCGCGUAGGCGGUUUGUUGCGUCGGCUGUGAAAUCCCGAGGCUCAACCUCGGGUCUGCAGUCGAUACGAGCAAACUAGAGUGUUGCAGGGGAGACUGGAAUUCCUGGUGUAGCGGUGAAAAUGCGCAGAUAUCAGGAGGAACACCGGUGGCGAAGGCGGGUCUCUGGGCAACAACUGACGCUGAGGAAGCGAAAGCGUGGGGAGCAACAGG